GUGUCAGCCGCCGCGGUAAUACGAAGGGUGCAAGCGUUAAUCGGAAUUACUGGGCGUAAAGCGUGCGUAGGCGGUUUGUUAAGUCUGAUGUGAAAGCCCCGGGCUCAACCUGGGAAUUGCAUUGGAAACUGGCGAGCUAGAGUGCGGUAGAGGGUGGCGGAAUUCCCGGUGUAGCGGUGAAAUGCGUAGAGAUCGGGAGGAACAUCCGUGGCGAAGGCGGCCACCUGGACCAGCACUGACGCUGAGGCACGAAAGCGUGGGGAGCAAACAGGAUUAGAAACCCUGGUAGUCC
rnacentral:rRNA from 1 species